rnacentral:rRNA from 1 species
CACGGGGGGAGCAAGCGUUGUUCGGAAUCACUGGGCGUAAAGGGCGUGUAGGCGGUCAGGUAAGUGGAAUGUGAAAUCCCUCGGCUCACCCGAGGAUCGUCAUCCCAAACUGCCUGGCUUGAGUACGGGAGAGGAUAGGGGAAUUCCUGGUGUAGCGGUGAAAUGCGUAGAUAUCAGGAGGAACACCGGUGGCGAAGGCGCCUAUCUGGCCCGAUACUGACGCUGAGGCGCGAAAGCUCGGGGAGCGAACGGG